CAUUCCCCCACCCUGCCCCAGCUGUUUCACUCUACCAUUGUAGUGUAAAAACAGCAGAAAUGCACAAAGAUGAUGAGUUCAGGGUUUUACUAUGGAUGCUGAAACCUAGAUUUCAUACCAUUUAACAUGUAUGAAAUACUAUUUUUACUUUUAUUUAUAUUUGCUUUUAUAUUUAUAUAUUUGUGUGCCCUACAAAACAGAAGGCUAAUAUUAGGAAGUUGCUAAUGAUUUGUCUAGUCAGGAUGUUAAUCAUUUCCUCAGUAUUUUGAUAGUUACUUGGAGCCUCACAGAUUUCUCUGCCUGAGCUGGCUUUGAACCUGGUCCUACAAUUUCAGCCUCCUGGGUAUCUAGGAUUACAGGUGCGAGCCACGGGUGCCAGGCCAACUCUAGGUUUCUAUUUCCAUUCAGCAUUCAUUUCCCUAUAGAUUUCUCUCCACUUAGGUUUUGUGCCCUCCAUGAGGCAGCCCUGUCAUUCUGUUCAUUUCCUCAUGAAUGAUUAUAGAAACAGCUGACAUGUUAACACUAUAUUUAUGUGGGUUGAGUAUAUAACUUUCAAAAAUUAUAAUUUGACAGAAAGAGAGAGAGAGAGAGAUUUAUCUAAAGCAGUGCAGGGGAUUUAACAGAAAAUAAUCAAGAGAGAUUGUGGGUUAAUAAACAGGGUCUUCCUGUGCCCACCUGGUCUCAGUUGGCCCUACUACCUCCAGUAUGGCUAUUCCAGGCAUCAGGAAGGAUACUGUAGUGGGUACUGUGUGUGUGUGUGUGUGUGUGUGUGUGUGUGUGUGUGUGUGUGUGUGUGU